AUCGAGUCCAUUGUUUUGAAAAUCCCACUAUUAAUGUUAUUCUUGCCAGCCAUUCCGGCUUAUAUUUAUGCAAAACACAAUUAAUAUUAUGAAACUAGUUUAACAAUGCAAUGAUGUAAAUUAAAACGUUAUUUCUAAUUUUUAUUAACUUAUUUUUCUUUGUGUUACAUAACGAGCAUUUAAAAGUUUCAAUCAUCACAUCCAAUCAACCUAGUUAACAGUUUUAUCUGCCAAUAUAUUCAUCCUUAGCUCCAACCGACAGUAUUUACUAAGAGAAAUAUAUACUUUUAAUUACAAAUUACCGUGUAGUUACUUUAAAAUCAGUGGUGUCUACUAUCGGUUAAAUCCUGGGUUUUUUUGUAAAGACAUGCUGCACAUCUCUUUAUUUUUAAGCUUUAUUCAUUGAUAAUGAUAUUCACCUCACUUGGAGAAAAUAUCACCGGCGUUUCAUUUACAAUGUUUUUGGUCCAUCAGAUAAAUAAUAGAUCUGAAAUUUCCAUUUUAAGAAAACUAUUGAAAUUGUCCAUCACAUUAAUGUACAGAUGAGCCAGUCAGCUAUGGUUGAGUUUUGGUAGCUAUGUGCCAAAUUCUCAUUUUCGCAAAAAAAUCCGCACAUCUACAUGAUGUAUAAGCAAAGAAUGGAACAAGGUUAGGCCUGUUGUUAUUAGUAAUUUGGUACUAAUCUCUAAAAUUCAUAACUUGAACAUCAAUUUUUACAAAGCAGCUUUCUUUAAAAAAAUAUUCAGGGAUUUUACUUUUUCAGCAGAAGCAGCCAAGCAACGAAAAGAAUUGAGGCACCUAACGAGUAUUUUAGUCGGAAAAUUUUAAGUAUAGUCAGCUUACGAUUACUUCGUUUCAAGGCAAAUGUACCACAACGCUCUACAAAACUUGUUUCGUAAUUAUUAUUGAUUUUCGUUCUGUUUUCUCAAUAUCUUUUAGUGUAUAAACACUAUGUUCUUUAGGUCAUUAGGGUGAAUGUUCAUUUCUUUGUUAGUGUGCUGAUAUACAUGGUCGAUACAAAUAGUGAUUUGGCCAAAGACUGUUCAUGAUCUCAAUAUCUUUUAUUUUUGUUUGUAACCCUUCAGUUCGCAUUGUGCAAGUUUCACACGAAAAGUGUCACGAUGUUAUUAGGUGACGUCACGAUGACGAAAACAUUAAUUUGAUUGACAGGCGCGGCGAGCGAGGCGUACGAAAAAGUAACACAAGCUAGGCGUUUUAUGUAUUGUAAACAAAUGACUAUUUCUCUCGAUUUCUUGUUAAUCAGAAACUAUAUCGUAAUAAACUAACACGUUACAUGGUGUCAGGAGUGUUCUGAGUCGAAAUAAAACGAUGGUUGAACCACAGGCAGAAAUCCAAGCGCCACAAAUGGCCCAGACGCCACAAAUAUUUAUAGCGCCAUCGAAUUUGCCACCGCCAAAGUCGCUUAUAUUCGACGAUAACUUGGCAACUACAUGGAAGUCUUGGAAGAAAUCAUGGACACGGUACGAGAUUGCAACAGGUGUACAAAAACAAGAAGGUAUUGUCAGAGUAUCAACCUUGUUAAGCGUAAUCGGCGAGGACGGUGUUAAGGCAUAUGACACUUUUACUUGGAGCGAAGAUGAAAAUCAAAAUGAUGUUGAUAUUGUACUUAAAAAAUUUGAUGAAUAUUGUUCACCGAGAACUCAAAUAAUCUAUGAACGAUACCGUUUCAACAAUAGAAACCAGGCACCUGGAGAAAACAUCGCAACCUACCUAACGGAACUGAGAACAAUCGCCAGAAAUUGUGCACAUGACUCGAUUACACCAGACGAAAUUUUACGGGAUCGUCUUGUUUUAGGCAUUCGUGAUCACCACGUCCGAGAACGUUUAUUGAGGCUAAACGAUCUCACGUUACAGAAGGCAGUCGACACUAUCAAAGCCGCGGAACAAACACAGCAGCAAGUCAAGCUCAUGAGCACCGGAGAAGAUUUUGUAAACACGCUAAGGAGAACACAACAAGAAGACGCCGGUAUAGAAAGUAAACAAUAUCGAAAGACAAAACCGCCGAGAUAUUCAAUGCGAAACCGCCAGCAGGAAGGAUUGUUUACAGAGUGUGGAAAUUGUGGUAUGGUUCACGACGAACGGAAUUGUCCAGCGUUCGGGAAAAAGUG